AGUGAACGCUGGCGGUAGGCCUAACACAUGCAAGUCGAACGGCAGCACAGGAGAGCUUGCUCUCUGGGUGGCGAGUGGCGGACGGGUGAGGAAUACAUCGGAAUCUACUCUGUCGUGGGGGAUAACGUAGGGAAACUUACGCUAAUACCGCAUACGACCUACGGGUGAAAGCAGGGGACCUUCGGGCCUUGCGCGAUUGAAUGAGCCGAUGUCGGGUUAGCUAGUUGGCGGGGUAAAGGCCCACCAAGGCGACGGUCCGUAGCUGGUCUGAGAGGAUGAUCAGCCACACUGGAACUGAGACACGGUCCAGACUCCUACGGGAGGCAGCAGUGGGGAAUAUUGGACAAUGGGCGCAAGCCUGAUCCAGCCAUACCGCGUGGGUGAAGAAGGCCUUCGGGUUGUAAAGCCCUUUUGUUGGGAAAGAAAUCCAGCUGGCUAAUACCCGGUUGGGAUGACGGUACCCAAAGACUAAGCACCGGCUAACUUCGUGCCAGCAGCCGCCGUAA
rnacentral:rRNA from 1 species